rnacentral:rRNA from 1 species
UACGGAGGGGGCUAGCGUUGUUCGGAAUUACUGGGCGUAAAGCGCACGUAGGCGGCUUUGUAAGUCAGAGGUGAAAGCCCGGAGCUUAACUCCGGAAUUGCCUUUGAGACUGCAUCGCUUGAAUCCAGGAGAGGUGAGUGGAAUUCCGAGUGUAGAGGUGAAAUUCGUAGAUAUCUGGAGGAACACCGGUGGCGAAGGCGGCAUCCUGGACCGACACUGACGCUGAGGAGCGAAAGCCAGGGGAGCAAACGGG